UAUGUGAUCGUCUCUCGCAUAUCAAUAAGCGGAGGAAAAGAAACUAACAAGGAUUCCCCUAGUAACGGCGAGUGAAGCGGGAAGAGCUCAAAUUUGAAAUCUUAAAGGGUUUCCCUUUACGAAUUGUAGUUUAAAGAAGUGUUUUCUGUUGAGGUUUUGGUAAAAGUUCUUUGGAAUAGGACAUCAUAGAGGGUGAGAAUCCCGUAUUUGACCUUUACUUUCAACUUUGUGAUACACUUUCAAAGAGUCGGAUUGUUUGGGAAUGCAGUCCAAAAUGGGUGGUAAAUUUCAUCUAAAGCUAAAUAUUGGCGAGAGACCGAUAGCGAACAAGUACCGUGAGGGAAAGAUGAAAAGAACUUUGAAAAGAGAGUUAAACAGUACGUGAAAUUGUCAAAAGGGAAGCGUUUGACACCAGUGUUGUUUUUCUGAAAAUCAAUUAAAGAACUGUUUAUGCUAAGCUGUUUAGACUUUAUCAGCUAUCUGUUUAGUUUUGAGCUUUUCUUUAAUGCACUUUUCAGUUAACAAGUCAACAUCAAUUUCUUUUGCUGUAAAAAAGCUUGAGGAAGGUGGCUUGAGAUUCGUCUUAAGUGUUUAUAGCCUCUUGCCUAUGCAGUCGGAGAGAUUGAGGUCUGCAGCGUAGAUCCUUCGGGGCUAAAUGCAUUUGUGCUAAGUUAUAGCAUUUUAUAGACAACUUGUUGACUAUGAUUUGUCUUGUAGCUUACUCGCUUAUGUUAUUUUACCUACGCUUAGGAUGUUGAGCGCAUGUCUCUCUC
rnacentral:rRNA from 1 species